CGGGGGAUUCUUCUCGGUACCGACACCCGCGCACAGAGCGCGGGAGUGACGAGGUGGACAGCAGGCAGGGUGAUGGAAACGGAAGGGGAGCGGGAGAGGGCGGCGGCGGGGAGUCAGAGAGGGAGCCCGCAGCUCGUAGUGAACGACGAUCUCCUUUAGAUGGCGAAGAAGGACACCUGGCGUUCAGCUCUCGCAAAGCCCGGCAAUGGCGUCAUCUCCUUCCACGACGACAAAUUCAACUGGAAAUCGCCAAGUGAAGAAGAUGAUUCCAAACACCAUGGUGUUGCAGCACAGAGAUUUUGCUAGGGAGUUGAAAUAGCAGUCUCAAAACGUGUGACUAUGUUAGGCCAGUAAAAGCCAUCCGUGAAUCUGAGGUGCUGUAGAACUGCAUGUUUGAGCCGGUUUCCAUGGGCCUGUAUUGCUUUAACUACUCCUUGCAUUACCUGUUGGUGCAUCAAAUGUAAACUCAGUGGUAAGAUUUGAAUGAUUUCUUGGUUAUGGAUUACUUAUGGAUGAUUUAUCUGUAGCCUUGUCUAACGAACAGGAGUAAAGACAAAGUCUACCGAUCUGGAAAUUCAGCUAACUGUGCCUAUUUUCUUGUGUUUAGAUAUUUGAGACUAUGUCGAUCAAUUAUUCGUAUGGAUCGCCAAACGUAACUAGGAUGUUGGUUAUUCAAAAUUUCAUCAAUGCUUUGAAAAACUAGAGCAAGGAGAAAGUCGGACUUAAGUUAGCAAAUCUGGAAUGUUCUGCUAAUCCCUCCAUGCAACAUGAUGAGUAACCAAGAAGGAAUUCACGGCGACUUUGGCUUGAUGAUAGUGAAUUGAAAUAUGAUGUUUUUUAUGCCUGUGUUUGUGACAUGAAAUUUUAUGUUUGCAGGCAUGAGCCUUUUGUUCAUCUAAGCCUCUCAAGUGAAAAAAAAUGCAAUAUGCUGCACUGAACAGGUGAGUUGAAUUAGAGACAUGUUCAUGCUGAGCAUCAAAUAGACACUUUCGAUGAGGUUUGUGUAGAUGGCCAUCAGACUAAUGUACUAAACCUUGUUAUUACCUUGAUUCAGGAGGGAUAGCUGCAGCUGGUGAGGGUACCAAAUUGGUAUAUGUGCCUGCUCCCCUGGCAGAGGUUGUGAAGGCCAUGAAGCUUCUCUCAUGGAUGUUUAAAUGCCUGGAGCAGAGUCAUAUGUGUUGCAAGAAGGCAUGUCUUACACCCUCUUUGCAGGAACUGGUUCUUAGCCUUUCCCUUGAGGUUUCUUCACACCGACGUGUGGACGAAGCAAAGCAGGCAAAGUCGGGGUUUGAGCCAUGGAAAGGAUCUUCAUUUUCUCGGAAGCUUCUACUUUGAGCUAUGUGGUCGUUAUAUAAAAUGGAAAAGUGUCCUCUCGAUAUCAAUCAAUAUUAGAUGUUUUUUUUCAUAUUUUCUUGGAUAAUUUUGUGCUUGGCCUUUGUUACUUGUAUAA